AUUCCAGCUCCAAUAGCGUAUAUUUAAGUUGUUGCAGUUAAAAAGCUCGUAGUUGGACUUCGGGUGGGCUGCGCCGGUCUCCUAACGGUUGUACUGGCGACGCCUGCCUUGCUGCCGGGGACGGGCUCCUGCCUUAACUGUCGGGACCCGGAAUCGGUGACGUUACUUUGAGUAAAUUAGAGUGUUCAAAGCAAGCCUACGCUCUGAAUAUAAUAGCAUGGGAUAACACGACAGGACUCUGGCCUAUCGUGUUGGUCUGUAGGACCAGAGUAAUGAUUAAGAGGGACAGUCGGGGGCAUUCGUAUUCCGUUGUCAGAGGUGAAAUUCUUGGAUUUACGGAAGACGAACAUCUGCGAAAGCAUUUGCCGAGGAUGUUUUCAUCA
rnacentral:rRNA from 1 species